UGCAGAAACUAUGUACCUUAUUUUUUAAUUCUUAUUUCGUAUGAGUGGGCAUGUAGAUAUGAAUAAGUAUAUUGUGCACUGCCAUUGAGCAGAAGGGGAGUGUAUUUAUGUUUGCUUUAUAUUUGAUCUGAGCUUCUCAAUAUCUUCGAGCUUUUGAAGUAUGAUCUGUAGUACCAACCAUUCAAAAAAAAGUUUUGCAGUUGCACUAACCAGGACAGCAAAGCCUUACCUCAUUUCUGCUCCUUGUAUAAAUAAAAAACAUUUCCUGUUUUGUAGUUGCACUAACCAGGACAGCAGGGCUGGAGAUGCUAUGUUAUAAUUAAUCAUCAUUUACUAAAAUUUAGCUUCUGCUUGCUACUGGUGCAAUCUAUUUCCUAUUUUAGUCUACUAAUCACCAGUUACUAGAAUUUACCUUCUGCCUGCUACUGCUUGGUUCUUGACGCCACUAGUUUGUACUGAAAUGUCGAAACUUUAUACCUUGCAAGAUCAUUCGGUGGUGGUGACCCAUAUGAUGGCGAUUUGCUCCGGCCAUUCCAAUUCUGGCGGUGGUGCUGCUCCUAUGAUGGUAGACAUGUCUGCCUCCCCUAGCUGCCACCGUGGUGAUGAAGCUCGGCCUAGGCUACAACCCCCUUCGAUGAUUGAUGAGCUGAUCUUCUUCCACCAGUGGUAGCGGGAGUGAUGCUGGAGCAGUACAUCGAUCAGUAGAUCAUCCUGCCAUUUGGGCAGGGAGAAGCUGGGACGGCCCUAAUGCGGUACAUCGAUCAGUAGAUCAUCCUGCCAUUUGGGCAGGGAGAAGCUGGGACGGCCCUAAUGCGGUAACAUCACCAUGUGGCAAACCAGUAGAUGGACACAACAUUGGUGCCUGGGUGAUGGGACAAAGUACGUGUACCAGUGAUGGUGCACGAUAUUCGUGCUUCUCAUUGAUGUGAUGUGUUAUCAGCUAAAAUUUGUGCUUCUCGUCCAGUCUAUGUUGAUGUGCGCUUGUGCACUUGUUGGGCCUUUUUGUUGUGCACUUGCACUUGCACUUGUAGAACUAUUUUGUUGUGCAUUUGUUAGGCCUUGAACCUUGCUGUGUAGAGGAGUCGAUUGAUGAUGUAUUGUAUUUCAUGUGGAGGAGUCAAUUGAUGAUGUAUUGUAUUUCAUGUGAUGUGCUGCUGAAAUGAAAUAUACAGUCUAUCUGAAUAUUGUAUUAUGUUGUAUUUGUUC